rnacentral:rRNA from 1 species
GACGAACGCUGGCGGCGCGCUUAACACAUGCAAGUCGAACGGAAAGGCCUGCUUUCCCUUGUGGAUUGCGGGUACUCGAGUGGCGAACGGGUGAGUAACACGUGAGUGAUCUGCCCCCAACUUGGGUAUAAGCCUGGGAAACUGGGUCUAAUUCCCGAUAGGACUGCAGGGUGGUGCCUGUGGUGGAAAACGAUUUUCUAGUGGUUGGGGAUGAGCUCGCGGCCUAUCAGCUUGUUGGUGGGGUAAUGGACUACCAAGGCGGGAACGGGUAGCCGGCCUGAGAGGGUGGACGGCCGCAUUGGGACAGAGAUACGGCCCAGACGCCAACGGGAGGAAGCAGAGGGGAAUAAUGAACAAUGAGCGGAAGCCUGAUGCAGCGACGCCGCGUGGGGGAUGACGGGCUUCGGGUUGUAAACUCCUUUCGACCGAGAGGAAGCCACCUGGUUGGAAGGGUGGUGACGGUAGUGGUAGAAGAAGCACCGGCUAACUACGUG